AAAGCAAGCUGGAGAGGGAGAGAGGAUGGGAGGCGAGGAGGCAGCCUGAGGGAAGGAACAGGAGGGAAGAGAGAUGAAGGGCAAGACCAGGGCCAGCCAUGCCUGUCCUAACAGCAGCCACCCAGCAGUGGCCCAGCCUGCUGAGAACUAGAAAAUCAGAAGAAAAAGGAGAAUCCACCAGGAGACCCAGGUUCCCAUGAGCAGGGGCCUUUAUCUGAAGUUAAUGGAAGCUGAGCCAGGUCCUGACAAUGUGCCUUCUGAUGGGGAGAUGAGACUUUCCUCUGAAAGCUAAGGUAACUCUGAAGCGUGAGCUGCCAGAAUUCAAGGCCACCUGCUUAACAGAAGACAACUAGAAACCUCAUCCAUGAGCAUAAGUUUCAGUUCAAAUAUGACACCCUCCCAUUGAUGGAAAUCAUUUCACCACCAGACGUUAUGUGGCUCAUUGUUUACCCGCUGCCUGCCUCCCGGCUGGAGAGGCGCAGGGAGCUGCCUGUCCCUCCUGUUCAGAGCCACCGUUCCGCACCUGGACCACCGCUUGGCAGAGGCGGGAGUGGAGGCUGUCACCAUCAGGAUGAAGGACAGGGGUGGCCCGGCGUG
rnacentral:sRNA from 1 species